GCAACGCCACGGCUCUAAUCUCACACUGAUAAUGAAAAACACAUGCUCGGGUGGCUGGUGGUCCGGCUCUGGUCACAGCGGGACACACGGAUGGCAGGAUUUACACCAGGUCACUUAAGGAUUAUUAAGGACACAGGGUGACAUGAGACCUUCGUAAAUGGAUUGACGAGAACUGACAUAAUCCUACAGAAUGAGUUGUUAUAGCAACAUCAAUGUAACUGUGGACCAAUAUUACAUGUUCAUACCAUAGAAACACAUUCAUUAUGUUCAUAGGGCUGCAUGACACCUUAAUAAGCCUUUUAUGAGAACUGACACACAUUACAGAAUGAUUUAUAAAAGGUCUCAGUUGCAAUAAAGGCAUCAAAUAUAACCGGCAUGACACCUAAGGCUUUUAUAGAAACUGACCAUUAUUUACAAAGAUCUUAUUUUUUUUCGUAAAUGAAUAUAAAUAUGUUAUAACUAUUACACCACGAGUCAAUAUUACAUUAUCAUUAGGUUUCUAUCUUUUUAAUUCAAUUUUCAAACAGAUCUUUUUAUGAAAACUGACAUAAAUAUAAACUAUUUAUGAUGAUUUCAGUUGUCAUAAGGAUAUCAACUUUUUUUUUUCUUUCUUUCUUUACACAAAUCUAUUAUUUCCCAUUUAUCUCAUUCCUUUCUUCCAACAUUUAUAUUUUGUAUUCAUAUUCGCCUUCCUUCCUUUCUUCCUUCUUUGAUCUAUAUUCAUACUUCUUUCCUUGUAUGUCUAUCAAUUUAUCUUCUUUCUUGCUCUUUAAUUUUUUCCAUGCAUUCCUUCCAUAUUUAUCUUAUUUUAUCUUCUUUCUUUCUAUUGUUUUUAAAUAAUAUUAGAUCUUUCUUACAUUUUUCUUUCUAUUUCUUUAUUUCAUUCUUUUUUCCAGAUUUUUAUUCCACUUUAUUUCUUUUAUUUAUCUUCUUUCAUUACCUUUUCUUUUCUGGUUCCAUAUUUAUAUUUUUCAUUUCUUUCUUUCUUUUUCUUUCUUCUUUCUUUUUCACUUAUAUCAUAUACUGUAUUUAUAUAAUUUUCUAUUUGCCUUCUUUCCUGCUUGAAUCAUUUUCUUUAUUUUUUAUUCCUUUCUUCCUUCUUCUGUGAUUUGUAUUCUUUCUUUUUUACAUAGUUAAAUAAUUUUCCAUCUUUCUUUCUUUCUUUCAUCCAUUUUUUCUUGAUAUUCUUUAUUGUUUUCCCUUCAUCCCUUUAUUCUUUCCUGCUUUCCUUAUUUUCUUUCUUUAGAAAAUAUUUACAGUAACUGGUUCAUUCACACAUUCCUCACUGAUCAGUUUAGACUCUACCCAACAACCUUUUUUAAUUAUCGCUACUUGAUGCACAGUUUGAAACAUCUGAACUUUUUUAAACACUUGCAGCUGACCCAGUCUGCCCUGCGCACUAGAAAACACACCACGUCCUUCGUUUCCCUUGACGCAAUGGAAAAAAAACAAGCGAUGUGAGACCCCACAACUAUGUCUCAAGCCUCCAAGAAUACUCCUGAGUCUCCAAAACAAACGUCAUACCAAAGUGUCCCAGGCUUAUUUAUCUUAUUUUCUCACAGAUUCA